rnacentral:rRNA from 1 species
UACGUAGGGUGCGAGCGUUAAUCGGAAUUACUGGGCGUAAAGCGUGCGCAGGCGGUUAUGUAAGACAGGUGUGAAAUCCCCGGGCUUAACCUGGGAACUGCAUUUGUGACUGCAUAGCUAGAGUACGGUAGAGGGGGAUGGAAUUCCGCGUGUAGCAGUGAAAUGCGUAGAUAUGCGGAGGAACACCGAUGGCGAAGGCAAUCCCCUGGACCUGUACUGACGCUCAUGCACGAAAGCGUGGGGAGCAAACGAGG